GCUGCAGGUGCGGCCCUAGAAAAAGACAAAAUAAUAAUAAUCAUAACAAAAAUACUGAAUCACUAAGCUGUACACCUGAAACUAACAUAAUAUUGUAAAUCAACUAUACUUCAAUAAAAAAAGAGUGCACAUUUUAACAGAAACAUAAAAUUGUAUUUGCCCAAAAUAUAAGAACUAUAAUUUGUUCAGAAUCUUUAAGUUUUAUAUUCUAAUGCAAAAUUUGAUGCUUGAUUGUCCUCAAUAAGUAAAACUGAUAUAGACAUUUGCUCGGCAACCGUAUGUUUUCCACAUAUCAAUAUUCAUUUCUGACUUUUUUUCCAUUUUACAUAGAACAUCAAUUGCUGAAAUAAUUUUGUCUCUAAAUCAGGAGUUAUUCAUUGAAUGCUUUAUUACAAUGGAGUCAAACAGACCUGUGUUCAAAUCUCAGCUCAAUUACUUACUCGCCAUAUGAUCUUGCUAAGUUUCUUCAUUUAUAGAAUGGAGAUAAUAUAUGGUAUCUUGUUUCACAGGUUACUGUGAAAAGUAAAUCAGAUAAUAUAUUUUAAGCAAUGGCACAUAGUACUAAACACUCAGUAAACAGGCAUUCCUUUCGUGGCUCAGUGGUUAACGAACCCAACUAGGAUCCAUGAGGAUGUAGGUUCAAUCCCUGGCUUUAGUCAGUAGGUUAAGGAUCCGGUUUUGCUGUGAGCUGUGGUGUAGGUCACAGAUGCGACUCAGAACCUGUGUUACUGUGGCUAUGGCAUAAGCUGGCAGCUGUAGCUCCAAUUCAACUCCUAGCCUGUGAACUUCCAUAUGCUGUGGGUACAGCCCUAAAAAGCAAAAACAAUACUUGUGUAAUUUAUAAAAAUAUAACUUAUAUUCCACACCAUAUUCUGAGAUUUGUUGUUGGUGAAAGGGAAAGGAGUUAAGGUAUAGGCACACAGAGUUACAAAACUACCCUCUAAUAACUUUGAAAACACUGUUUAAAAUAUUAAAUGUAUUAAACCUUUUACAAGUCCAUUUCCACAUCCAUUUAUUAACAAUCAAAAUACUGGAUAUGUAAAAAUGCCAAAUUCAAAUUUUCUACUUCUCAUUAGACAUUAUUUUAUUCAAUAAAAUAUGUGUUUAUACAAGCUCUCUUAGCAAUAAAUGCUUAAUUAGAAUAAAUGUAUUGGGAGUGGGUGAAGAAUCCAACUGCAGCAGCUCGAGUAGUGGUGGAGCUGUGUGUUUAACUCUAGGCCCAGGGUAGUGGGUUAAAGGAUCCAGGGUUUCCGUAGGUAUCUGCUUCCGUGUAGGUUGCAGCUGCGGCAUGGAUUCAAUCCCUGGCCUGGGAACUUCCAUAUGCUGUGCGUGUGGCCAUUAAAUAAAUAAGUAAAGGUAACGCUUUUAAAUCCUUGUAGAGAUUUAAGAUACAGAAGGAGUAGCUUUCCUCUACGACCCACUGCUAAUUUGGGAUUUACUGGUUUAUAAAAUCAGAAAGACAAGGCCCUGUGAUCACUGUUCCCACAUAAAGAGAUAUCUUUAACAUUAUCAUCAUGGCCAGAUGUGCUCAGGACUUACAGCUGCUCUGCUACUAUGUCAAAAAAGUCUCAGUCUUAUCUCUGUUGGUACAAGUUUCUACGUUUUGCUGUCGUUCAACUUAGCUAUUUAGCUCACCAAUUUAGAACAGUCUUAAAGUGCGAAAUAAAAAUAAUGUAGUGGCUACAUAUUCAUUCAUUAAAAAUAUAGUAAUAAUUGAAGGUCUACUGUGUGCCAGGCACUGUUUUAGGCAUGUCCCUGCUCUCAUGGAAUGUACUUUCUAGGACAGGAUAACAGAAAAUAAACAAAUAACUAUAUUAAUUAUCAUAUUAAUAAAUAAAAAGAAAAACAGGGUAAAUUAAGGGGGAUAAAAAGUUACAGGAGAUAUGCUGCAAUUAUCUGCAAUGUGUUCAGGGAAGGAUUCUUUCUGAAACCAUAACUGAGCAGAGACCUAACAGAGGGGAAACAGCAAUCUGUGUAGACAUCAAGGGAAGAAGCAUUCUAGAACAGAAAACACAAAGGGCAAAGCCCACGAAGUGUUCCAGGAAAAGCAAGGCAACUUCUAGAGAUAGGGCAGAGGGAACAGAGGGGGAAAGGUAUCAGGUGAAGUUAAACAAGCAGCAUGGAGUUAUAUCAGGUAGGAUAUUAUAGGCUGUUUUAAGGGCUUUGGAUCAUAUUUUGAAUUAUAAGAGAAGCCCUUAGAGUAUCCUGAGCAGAGAACAUAAAUUGAAUUAUGAUUAAAAAUUAUGACUGCUAUGUGAAAAAUAAGCUACACAGAACGAAGGGAGAAGCAGGGUAACCAGAGGCACAAAUGACAGAUUCAUGUCAAACAUAAAUGAUUAGCCACAGGAGAGAUAAAAUUUCCUGGACUUAAUUAACAAACAUGGUGACCUAGACCUUCUAUUCCCUGUGACAGGACUGCAUUAGAUGCUAGCACCUGUUCCAUGUCAAACAGAACAAAUUAUGAAAAAAAAAUCAUUGUUUGCAAGGCAAAUGACACUUCACUUACAAAGAUUUUUUUCCAUAAUGUACAUUAACCCGUAAAGCUUUAGAUGUACAUCCCCAAAUCUAUCAGAUUCAUAAAAGUCAAACUACAAUACAGGAAUGAAUUAUUCUACUUCCAGGAAUGGGAAAGUAAGACCAAGACUAAGAUUAACUAAAAAAACUUGACAAAAAAUAAUUAAAAGCAAAAACUUUAAAACCUUUUGCUCAAGGAGUUCCCUGAUGGUGUAGUGGGUUGAGGAUCUGAGGAUGGUGUAGCCAGUUGUCACUGCUGUGGCCUGGGGUUUGAUCCCUGGCCGGGGAACUUCUGCAUGCUAUGAGCAUGGCAAAAAUACAAACAAAAUUAAAAUUUUUAAAAUAAAAUUAAACAAUUUGCUUGAAGGCCUUGGAGACCUAACAACAACAUAACAAUUUAUAGUUG
rnacentral:lncRNA from 1 species